CGCUGCCUACGGGGCGCAGCAGUGGGGAAUAUUGCACAAUGGGGGAAACCCUGAUGCAGCGACGCCGCGUGAGUGAAGAAGUAUUUCGGUAUGUAAAGCUCUAUCAGCAGGGAAGAUAAUGACGGUACCUGACUAAGAAGCCCCGGCUAACUACGUGCCAGCAGCCGCGGUAAUACGUAGGGGGCAAGCGUUAUCCGGAUUUACUGGGUGUAAAGGGAGCGCAGGCGGCACGGCAAGUCUGGUGUGAAAGCCCGGGGCCCAACCCCGGGACUGCAUUGGAAACUGCCGGGCUGGAGUGCCGGAGG
rnacentral:rRNA from 1 species